UACGUAGGGUGCGAGCGUUGUCCGGAAUUAUUGGGCGUAAAGGGCUCGUAGGCGGUUUGUCGCGUCGGGAGUGAAAACCUUGGGCUUAACUCAGGGCUUGCUUUCGAUACGGGCAGACUAGAGGUAUGCAGGGGAGAACGGAAUUCCUGGUGUAGCGGUGAAAUGCGCAGAUAUCAGGAGGAACACCGAUGGCGAAGGCAGUUCUCUGGGCCGUAACUGACGCUGAGGAGCGAAAGCGUGGGGAGCGAACAGG
rnacentral:rRNA from 1 species